rnacentral:lncRNA from 1 species
CACGUUCUUUUCUUUGUUGCCGUUGGGGUGCUGGACUUUGCACACCACGUGUUCGUCUGUGCCCUGCAUGACGUCCUUGGAAGGCAGCAGCACCUGUGAGGUGGCUGCGUACUUGCCCCCUCUCAGGACUGAUGGGAAGCCCCGGGUGCUGCUGAUGUCAGAGUUGUUCUUGUAUUUCCAGGAGAAAGUGAUGGAGUCGGGAAGGAAGUCCUGUGCGAGGCAGCCAACGGCCACGCUGCUCGUAUCCGACGGGGAAUUCUCACAGGAGACGAGGGGGAAAAGGGUUGGGGCGGAUGCACUCCUGAAGAGACGGUGACCAUUGUCCCUUGGCCCCAGAUAUCAAAUCACUGUGCCUCUCGCACAGUAAUACACAGCCGUGUCCGCGGCGGUCACAGAGCUCAGCUUCAGGGAGAACUGGUUCUUGGACGUGUCUACUGAUAUGGUGACUCGACUCUUGAGGGACGGGUUGUAGUUGGUGCUUCCACUAUGAUUGAUUUCCCCAAUCCACUCCAGCCCCUUCCCUGGGGGCUGGCGGAUCCAGCU